GGGCAUCAGUAUUCAGUCGUCAGAGGUGAAAUUCUUGGAUUGACUGAAGACUAACUACUGCGAAAGCAUUUGCCAAGGACGUUUUCAUUAAUCAAGAACGAAAGUUAGGGGAUCGAAGAUGAUCAGAUACCGUCGUAGUCUUAACCAUAAACUAUGCCGACUAGGGAUCGGGUGGUGCUACUUUGCCCACUCGGCACCUUACGAGAAAUCAAAGUUUUUGGGUUCUGGGGGGAGUAUGGUCGCAAGGCUGAAACUUAAAGGAAUUGACGGAAGGGCACCACCAGGAGUGGAGCCUGCGGCUUAAUUUGACUCAACACGGGGAAACUCACCAGGUCCAGACGUAAUAAGGAUUGACAAGUUAGAGACUUCUCUUGAUCUUACGGGUGGUGGUGCAUGGCCGUUUUUAGUCCUUGGAGUGAUUUGUCUGCUUAAUUGCGAUAACGGACGAGACCUUAACCUGCUAAAUAGGGCUGCGAGCAUCUGCUCGGGUGCUCUUCUUAGAGGGACUAUGGGUAUCAAACCCAUGGAAGUUUGAGGCAACAACAGGUCUGUGAUGCCCUUAGACGUUCUGGGAAAGAGCAUUUGCAUUA
rnacentral:rRNA from 1 species